CAGUGUUAUGUAAGGGACAAAAAUUUUUAUAGGGUCAAGAAAGGAAUUUAGUGAUCUUCUAGUGUCGGGGCUGGCCGCCGGGAGCAGUGCCGCUCCAAAAAGGCAUCGCCCCACCCGCAAGUAUGCGGUGUCGAAGGUGCCCAAGGGGGCGUUCGGCCCGCGAGGCGGGCGUGCCUCCCCGUCGGAGAAGGAAGCCGUGGAGGACGCGGCGGUGGCCAGCUGCACGGCCGCUGCCGCAAAGGAGGAGCGGGAGGAGGAGGCAUCCCGGGGGCUGUCUCGUAUGCAGAGAGACGAGUCGUCCCUGUGUCUGGGGCGGUCAUUGCCUUCCGCGGCACCGAUGAAGCUGAACUUCAGCACGCGGCGCAGUGAAACGUGAGAGGGCGUCGCUCAGCGGCGCCAAAAGGAAGGUGGAGGAGCUCACCGAGGAGGCCAAGCCAGUUGAGGUGGUGAGGACGCCGGCUCCGGAGGAGGAGCCGCCGGCAUCCCGCGUUCGGCUGCACGCACAGGCGUGGCGCAGGCAGAGGAGGAGAAGAGCGGGGUGGAGCUGGCACCACCCCAUGAUGCUGGUACCGGGUCGGCGGUUCCGGCAUAGGAGGUUGCGGGCAGGGCGACUGUUGAGCCGAGUCGCCUGCGUGCCAUCAACCCCACACCAGCUCAAAUGCUGCUGGCCCAACGGAUUGGGACCCGGCGCCCGACGAGGGAGCGGAGCAACAGAUGGCCCGGGUCACUGGGGAGGACCUGAUGGCGGCCGCACAACGGGCCAUUGAGUCGACUUUGGCGUUGGCCAACCCGAGUCGCUGAGCGGCAGGUCAGCUACAGGGCAUGGACGGCCCGGCUGGCCGGCUGCGCGACCUGGAAGCUGAGGUGGUGUGGCUCAGGGCGCACGUUGAGGAUUUGGAGCAUGAGCACUCGGAGGCUUUAGGAAGAACGCCGAGGAGAGGCGCGGUGAGUUUCUUGCUGACUUCCCUUGGCUGGGUGGGUAGGUCGAUGUUGAUUUUAAUGAUGUUGCCGUUUGCAGAGCCAGUGAAGAUCAAUAACCAGAUGGCCCAGGACCUCAAGGCCACGGUGUCGGCCAACGAGGAGCUGCAUCGACUCCGGGAGGGGGCAGAGGGCUGGGAGGCCAGCGCGGUGCGGAAGUUCCAGCUGGAGAAGGAGGG